UACGUAGGGUGCAAGCGUUAAUCGGAAUUACUGGGCGUAAAGCGUGCGCAGGCGGUGAUGUAAGACAGAUGUGAAAUCCCGGGCUCACCUGGGAACUGCAUUUGUGACUGCAUCGCUGGAGUACGGCAGAGGGGAUGGAAUUCCGCGUGUAGCAGUGAAAUGCGUAGAUAUGCGGAGGAACACCGAUGGCGAAGGCAAUCCCCUGGGCCUGUACUGACGCUCAUGCACGAAAGGCGUGGGGAGCAAACAGG
rnacentral:rRNA from 1 species